rnacentral:tRNA from 1 species
UCUCCUGUCGUCCAACGGUAGGACCUCGGACUUUGAAUCCGAGUAUCGUGGUUCGAGUCCGCGCGGGAGAUCCA